UACGUAGGGUGCAAGCGUUGUCCGGAAUUAUUGGGCGUAAAGAGCUCGUAGGCGGUUCGUCGCGUCGGCUGUGAAAACCCGGAGCUCAACUCCGGGCCUGCAGUCGAUACGGGCGGACUUGAGUUCGGCAGGGGAGACUGGAAUUCCUGGUGUAGCGGUGAAAUGCGCAGAUAUCAGGAGGAACACCGGUGGCGAAGGCGGGACUCUGGGCCGAUACUGACGCUGAGGAGCGAAAGCGUGGGGAGCAAACAGG
rnacentral:rRNA from 1 species